rnacentral:misc_RNA from 1 species
GAUGAAGAACGCAGCGAAAUGCGAUACGUAAUGUGAAUUGCAAAUUCAGUGAAUCAUCGAGUCUUUGAACGCACAUUGCGCCCCCUGGUAUUCCGGGGGGCAUGCCUGUCCGAGCGUCAUUGCUGCCCUCAAGCACGGCUUGUGUGUUGGGCCCCGUCCUCCGAUCCCGGGGGACGGGCCCGAAAGGCAGUGGCGGCACCGCGUCCGGUCCUCGAGCGUAUGGGGCUUUGUCACCCGCUCUGUAGGCCCGGCCGGCGCUUGCCGAUCAACCCAAAUUUUUAUCCAGGUUGACCUCGGAUCAGGUAGGGAUACCCGCUGAACUUAAGCAUAUCAAUAAGCGGAGGA